CUUCCGUGUUUCGAAAUGUUCGUGUACUGUGUGAGGACUUCUGUAAAAGUAAUACAUGACAGAGGCGGCAUGUCUCGAUGCUCUCUCAUGUGUUGUGUAGAAUCUAAAUAAAAUAAAAUAAUCAAAAACAAAUGAAGACCAUACUUGUGAUACAUUUUGUGUUAGCCGUCCCACUUAGGUCACGCUCGGAAAACCUGACAGCAGUCUGUGUCACGAGUGACAGUUACUGGGAAGUGCACAGUAAUAAACCAGAUAACACUUACACCUGCACGGGGCUGUCAGCACAGGACACAGUCCAGUGGGAUCACUGGGUGCCUGACACAUCCACCACUAAUCUUGGUUAUUGUCCGCCUCGUCCAGCAGACGGAAGUCAGUCUGUUUGUAUCAGACCACUCAGCCCCAUUUUCAUUCCAAGCAGAAUUUCUGAUGACACAAGUGUGAUGCUUAUUAAUGCUUCGGCCACUAGAGACACUAGAUUAUUUGACAAAGGGAGAAUGCGCUGCUCGGCUGUUCGUCAGACAUCACUUGCUGGAAGUGAGAGCUGCCGCCUGGAUUACAUAUAUGCAGGUGCAAAUUUAUCGUGCACGGUUCAGUUCAGAAACGACACCUGGAGUGUGUUUGGUCAGUGUAGCACAGAAAGAGUUUAUUCAGCUCAAAAGAGGUACCGGUGUGAAUGGAUCCAGACUAAAGAGCCAACAAGAGAAGAAAUCCUUAUCUCCAACAUUUCAAUGACUGUGGUGCCCUCUGUCGGGACGUACGUCAGUGGAUCGUGUAACAUGACCAGUUACCUGCCGCCUGUCGGUCAGUACACUUACCGCGUGACCUUUGUUCCCGGUGAAGUGACAGUCAUUGCAAGUGCCAUCGGAAAUAAUACAAUUAGUAGACCCUCCAGUAAACCUUCCCACAACUGUCUACAAUACAUACCAGAAGGCAAUGACCUCAGGUGCACGUGUUCUGUGAGUGACCUGGGCAGUCCUCCCGGUGUACUACAGUGGAAUACAACAGGAUCAGCAGAACUGCGGGUGUUAGCUGUUCAGGCUGGGGAUGUUGGUACAUACACCUGUCAGCUCUUGUGGAACAAUACAGUCGUGCAGUCCGUGGAGUAUACUUUGACCAUGGCAUCCCCUCCAUCUAUUCCAGUGAUUUUUUCACUCGGUGGCACAACAGGAACACCAGCGUAUCCUUUCUUGAUGGGUACCUCAGGUAUACUGGGAUGUCAGAGUAACCAGACAGGUCGACCACAAGCCACCUACAGCUGGCCUGUUCCCGCUACAGGUCAAGCUUCAGGGAGUAAACUGACUUUCUACAACCUGUCGAGAGAAGAUAACGGGAGAACAGUGAAGUGCAGGGCCAGCAACAAUUACACAGCGAACAGGCGGCCUGUUGAUGAUGCUACAUUUGUCCUACAGGUCUACUAUGACCCUGUGAUCAACUUCACACGUUUUUCUGAUGGAAGUGACUGUGUAAAGGUUUCCACUGUGUCUCACUACAAACAGUGUGUUGUUGCCGAGGGACAGAUGGUUCACAUCAACUGUACUGCUGACAGCAAUCCAUCCCCUUUAUCAUUCAGGUGGCUGAGUCAAAAGAAAGAUGUCUACUCUAACUCAAGUGAGCUGGUGAUCACAUCUGCUAACCACACCAUCCACAAUGGUGACUACAACUGUACAGUAGUCACGAAACAAGAAAACAUGGACAGCCGCCUUCCUUUAACAUCAUCUGCUGUACUGACUGUUAUUGUUGGCUACUCUCCCAUUGUUCUGCACUUUACCAUAAACAACGUGGACAACAUGACUGUGAAUGUUCAGGAGAAAUCUCAUGUGGAUAUGAAGUGUCUUUGUAAUGGCAGACCAGCUCCAAGCAUUAGACUCAUUAACGUAACAGACCCAGAACAUUUCCUAAACCAAUUUGAGGCCACCGGCAACAUUUCCGUUGAUGAACAGAGAUGGGGGGUCAACUUCAGCAUGGACCAAGUUCCUUGUGAAGCGUCGGGAAUCUACAAAUGUGAUGUAAAAAACAGUCUUGGACAGGACAGUCAGAGUCGCACGUUACUUGUGAACUGUGCUCCCAGAGGAACAUUUGGUGACGGCAAUGUCAAUAUUACAAGCAGUACAGGAGAGCUUAUUGUUAGAAUGACUGCAUACCCCACGCCGAUGGUAGAGAAAAUAACAUUUCUUGGCCUCAACAAGAGUUCUGAUGGAGAACCAGUGAAGGAAAAUACUAUUUAUGUGCAGUGUUCUGCCAGCUCUUUAGCCCCAGCUGCGGUCACCUGCAAUAUAACGGUCAUCAACAUGGCAAAGAGCGAGGAAGGUUUUUACAGAAUUGUUUUCAGCAACAAUUUAGGAGUUCUCCCUUUCAUCUUCUCUGUAACAGUUUUAGAUCAAGCGAGUGAAGUAAGCAGUCAAGACCAAAACCCUAACACUCCAGCAAUAAUUGGCGGAAUCUUUGGUGCCUUGAUUUUGGUUGUCAUCAUUAUUGUUACUGUAUUCUUAUUGCAGCGACACAGAAGAAAUGGUAGCCAGUCAAAGUCAAGGAGUGACCAUCAUCCCAAAACAAAUCAAAACAAGACUGCUGAUGGAAAGGGUGGACACCAGAAGUCAAGAAGUGAAGAUCAUUCAAGCAUAAAUCAACAGAAUGCUGCUGAUGUUGUCGGACAAGGGACCUCGCCGUAUGAAAGACUACAACUGGAAGACACGGGGAACAGAUCACAGUAUGAAGAACUACAGCGAUACCAGAACGCCUCAGCAUUAUCGCCGGGCAAGAGAACUAUACUAAAAAAAUCAUCAUCGUCAUCAUCAUCAUCCAUCCAUAAGAUGCUUGUAAAUCGCGGAAUAAUAACGCGUGGCAAAAUUAUGCGCUUUAUCAAAUCAUGAAUAUGUAGUAAAACUGAUAAGAAAAAGGUGGUAAAUAAGUGUACACACAUCUUAACAAUAAACAACGCAUAAAUGCUUUCUAUGAAUGGAUAUAUUGAAUGAGACUAUUGGAUACUGGAUCUGUAAUUGUCCUUGUGGACCCAUAAAGUUGGUUUGAAGACUGAAAAGUCUGAACUAAGAAUUGCAGUGAAUUCAAUGGUUUAUUUUCUCUUUUUCUUGGUACUUAGUAGGGGUUGAUAUCUCUAACAGCUAUAACUUUAAUUUAGCUUAACAUCAUAUAUAGAGAGACAUGUUUAAAGUUAAACAACAAAAUAAUCUCUGUCGUAAACAUUAAUAUAGCCAAGACUAAAUUAUGGAAAAAUUCCUCAGUUAAGUCAUGGAUUAUAUUAUGUUGCCAACAUGUAGCAUCUCCGCUGUAUGCAGCAUUACAAGUGCACGAUGUAGGCAAGAGGUCAGACUAUGAAGAGUUACAACGAUACCAGAACACCUCGGCAAUAUGACAGGAAGUUGUAAACAACAGUGGUCGCACAACGACAGACGAACAUAACUUUGUGAACUAAGACGGGAUUUCUUUUCUAACAUCUAACCGCUUUGUCAAGAAACAAUAUGAAGUAUACUGCUUUCGUUUAUGCUUUAAUUCUUUAUGGAAAAAUUUACCAUCAAGAAAAGAAAUGAACAAAAUAGACAUUUGGAGAAACAUGUU
rnacentral:misc_RNA from 1 species